UACGUAGGGAGCAAGCGUUAUCCGGAUUUAUUGGGUGUAAAGGGUGCGUAGACGGAGAAGCAAGUUAGUUGUGAAAUCCCUCGGCUUAACUGAGGAACUGCAACUAAAACUACUUCCCUUGAGUACUGGAGAGGAAAGUGGAAUUCCUAGUGUAGCGGUGAAAUGCGUAGAUAUUAGGAGGAACACCAGUGGCGAAGGCGACUUUCUGGACAGUAACUGACGUUGAGGCACGAAAGUGUGGGGAACAAACAGG
rnacentral:rRNA from 1 species